rnacentral:lncRNA from 1 species
GAGUCUAAGUCAGUGCACUUAUGGAGUGCUGUCCGGUGAGCUGCCGAGGCUUGUUGUGGGCAAAUUAGAGGAAUCGAGGUCGAUCCUGCGAAAAAAAAAAAGAAGAAAAAAACAGAGAAAAAAACAAUACAAGAAACGCCUGAGCCGAAAAAAAAGAAAUCAAAUGGUUAGGUGGAAUGAUGACUGCCAAGGGGCAUGGAAAGAAAAAAUGAGUAGCAGGAACCUCUGAUUCUGAUACCUUUCUUGGAAGAAACGAUUGUUAAUCUGGUACUU